CACAGCCAAUCGCCGCAUGACAUGAAGGCGGCUUCAGAGCACCUGGCGUCUUUCACGCUGCGCCGCAGCAACUGUAUUCGCUCCCACGUUGUCCGCCCAGUGCUCAUUUAAGUUCCUUUUGUGUCCCAGACGCUCACUGGUAUGGCUGCGUACUAAUCUCCACCUGAUGCACUCAAUGUCCACGCUGGUAAUCCUCGUGGUAGCGUCGAUCCCUCCGACCCACGCUGAUUGUCUGAAGCGUCCUGACCGGGCAAAGGAUCCUUGAGCAUCAGCUCUGCACCCGCUAACCUGCCAGAGACCACUGCUGCUUUGCCUUUUGGCCAAACGGCUUUGCUUUACCGUGUUAAACUAACCCUGUUCGGGUUUGAUUUGCUUUGCCUUUUGGCCAAGUUGCUUGCCUUGUCUUGGUUAAAGUGCUGAGUCUGCGGUGGCGGAUUGGUGUCCCAGGUGGUGGUGUCCGUUAUGUUUAGCAUGUUUGAGUUGCUUCACUUAGUUUCACCGUCCAUCAAGUCUCUGCCCUGAUUGGUUCCCCCGUUGCUUGUUCCAGAGUGAAGAGGUUU
ensembl:lncRNA